rnacentral:rRNA from 1 species
UACGUAGGGGGCGAGCGUUGUCCGGAAUUACUGGGCGUAAAGGGUGCGUAGGCGGUACAGCAAGUCGGAUGUGGAAUACCCGGGCUUAACCCGGGGGUGUCAUUUGAAACUGCUAUACUUGAGUGCAGAAGAGGAAAGCGGAAUUCCCAGUGUAGCGGUGAAAUGCGUAGAUAUUGGGAGGAACACCAGUGGCGAAGGCGGCUUUCUGGGCUGUAACUGACGCUGAAGCACGAAAGCGUGGGGAG